rnacentral:rRNA from 1 species
AACGAACGCUGGCGGCAGGCCUAACACAUGCAAGUCGAACGGAUGUAGCAAUACAUUAGUGGCGCACGGGUGCGUAACACGUGGGAACAUACCCCUUGGUAAGGAAUAAUAUCUGGAAACGGAUACUAAUACCUUAUAAUAUCUUCGGAUCAAAGAUUUAUCGCCAAGGGAUUGGCCCGCGUCUGAUUAGCUAGUUGGUGAGGUAACGGCUCACCAAGGCGACGAUCAGUAGCUGGUCUGAGAGGAUGAUCAGCCACACUGGGACUGAGACACGGCCCAGACUCCUACGGGAGGCAGCAGUAAGGAAUAUUGGACAAUGGGCGAAAGCUUGAUCCAGCCAUGCCGCGUGAGUGAAGAAGGCCUUAGGGUUGUAAAGCUCUUUCAAUGGUGAAGAUAAUGACGGUAGCCAUAGAAGAAGCCCCGGCUAAAUUCGUGCCAGCAGCCGCGGUAA